rnacentral:rRNA from 33 species
GCUACCUGGUUGAUCCUGCCAGUAGUCAU